GUCCACGCUGUAAACGAUGGAUGCUAGACGUGGUGGGUCUUGACCCCUACCGUGUCGAAGUUAACACGAUAAGCAUCCCGCCUGGGGAGUACGGUCGCAAGACUAAAACUCAAAGGAAUUGACGGGGGCCCGCACAAGCAGUGGAUCAUGUGGUUUAAUUCGAAGCAACGCGAAGAACCUUACCUGGGUUUGACAUCCUUUGAAUAUUUUAGAGAUAAAAUAGGCUCGCAAGAGACAAAGAGACAGGUGCUGCAUGGCUGUCGU
rnacentral:rRNA from 1 species